UAAUAGUUGGUUCUUUACAUGCAACUAGCAAUUGCUUACAUUAUGGUCGAAAUAUUUAGUUCUGGUUGCCAGAUUACGGGAGUUACGCUAAAUAGUUCUCUAAAUUUUGAAAUACUGUGUCAGGAUGUAAAUACUUCAAUUCUGUAAUGUCUCCUAACAGUAAUUCAGUUGUGUCUCUGUUGUGUUUGUACAAGGUAUUGUAUUCCUGGAUGACAGCAGGAGUCCUAUUGAGUGGGAUGAGCUCUGUCGCCUCCAACAGCAGCCAUGGUAGCCUCCUCUCCAUCUUGGCCACAAGUCACAGAAGAGGCAAAGCAGGCCACCUCCACAGCCUCAAUUCCGCUGGCUAAGCCUGCCAUCACCCUCUGCCUCGUACAUCUCAGGGGUGGAGCCAGGCCUGUUUAUUGGUACCAGUUUAUACCAAUGAUUUUUUGCAAAAUCAGUAGAAAAUUACUAUUAUGCACUGUUUACCUAUGGAGCUGACACCAGUGGCUCCGUCAGCUGGCUCGCCCCUGCAAUGGUGUGCAGAAAGUUGGAUUUUUUGUGUGAAGGACUGGAAGAACGUCUAAGAUUGGAAACAAUAGGAAUAUCUCAAAGAAGUGCAUUGGCUUCUGAUUCGACAGAGGCCAUGGAUUUGGCUACACCAUGUUUGCUUUAUUCAUAAGUUUCAAUUUCAAUCAGGCACGGCAUGCAGAUUUGAAAUUGGAUUCGGACAUUCAGGUACCAAGCCACCCAGAUGUUGAGGUAUUCAGUGAUUUUACAGUGCACGUCAAGAACCAUGCAGGUUCCCAUACCCCGUCACGCUGGACUCCUUUGCGCUCCACCUUGCUGGAUUCCUCCCCAUUCAGAACUCUCAAGUUGCCGCUUGCCAGCCGGUGCUGCACGGUUGGGCUCUCCGCUUCCUUUGAGCUUGCCUAUGCCUGAUUGUAUGGUUCAGUCACCUAUGUUAUGGGGGAGUUCCUGUGAAUUUGCAAGAGUUGGUUGACGAAAUAGAUCAAUUUCUACUAGGCCCUGAACUUGAAUCCCUUGAGGAUUGGCAAAUUUUGUGGUGAGAUAGUGCCUUGCCUAACUGGAAUUGGUUUCGUAUCUGAUUGAAAUAUAAAACAGUGCAAUGUGUGUACUGGUAGAUGUUUGGCAAAAAUUUCUGGAUUACCUGGUCAUCCAAGGAGUUUAGAGUGAAAAUAGCA